CCAUCUCUUUCCAUCAUCCCCUUUGAAGUUAUGUCCAAAAGGCUGUUAUUAUCUGGUAUUAAUAGAUGCAGCCCCAGGAAGACAAAAUCAGCUAUUGAUAAUUGCAAGGAGUAUACGGCAGCUACUGUAUCGAUCGGCGUGUCCUCCACUCCCCUGGUACUGAGAGAUAAGGAGACACACUCUUUAGAGCAAUAUAAUUUCUUUUGACCUAUCUGCUUGCUACAGACUUAUGAUGAAUAGCCAGAGUGGCUGAAGUCCUUUAUCACCAAAGUUACCCCCUUGAUAUAAUAUUGAUUCUUUAUAACUAGCUCGCCACACAAAAAUCAAACUGUCCACUUGGCCAUCAUCAUCAUCAAUAUCAUCACAAAGGCGGAGGAAUGAAGAUCCCCCGCGCGUCUAAAGGCGAGCCGUUACAAUCUCCUCUGUAGGCCUAAUCUUUAUUUUGCUGAUGAUGAAAGGAGAGGGGAAACGAGGCAAGGUGCCAUUUAAGACGCGGUGCCAUUUAAUCCGGUAUAGACUACACAUACACACACGCGCGCACACUUAUAGAGAGAGAGGGAAAGAGAGGGGGUGUCCAGACUGGGCUGCCGAACAGCUUUGGAAUUCACGUCGCUUGAAAAGUUUGAUUUCCUCUAAGCUUUACGUAACCCUAAGAGCCCCUGUUUUAUACAGCUUGGUCUGACUUCAUAAAAAAAUAAAUUACCAAGUCAAAUAUUAUUGUUCUCCAAUUUACUGCAGUGGACGAGCAAAUAAAUACAUAAAUACGUUAAAAAAAACCACUUUUUUGUUUCAUGGCACUGCGGAUACCGGAUGCGCCUCAGAGGUAUCCUUUAACCUUAAAGGCUGCUUCGCUGCAGAGCUGGAGCCCCACCGAGGCUAUUACAACGGGGGCCACUCUCUCUAUUCUCCGAGAGAGGAGUGAGAGUGCUGCUGGUGCUGCUGGUGGAAGAGGAGGAGGAGGAGGUGGGCAUGGUGGCGGAGGAGGGUGGGAGAGGAGGGAGAGCAGAAACGUGUAAUCACCCAAACAACCGUUUUUACCCGUUUCACCCCCUCUGGAUCUGUGUCGCAAGUCCGCUGUGAGCCUGUCUGCCUUUCACUGCGGAUAUCGUAGAGGGAGGCCGGAGCGUGAAGAAGACACCAGAGAGGUAGCGCUUCUGCUAUGCAUGUGGAAAAGUGUGCAGACACGAUCAGCAUGUGACUUAUCCUAUAAACGCUCUUGAACAAUUGCCUUGCUAAUCACAUUAUGGAUACAGUAAGCUCAACAAAUUGGAGGAGAAAUGCGAUGCCUCGGAAUAGAAGAAAUCAGCUUUAAGUGAGGGACACAGUUUUCCACCCUCAGAUGUCUCGCUAGUACACAUAAGGUCACCACAGAACAAGAGUGGGAAGAAUCUGGGAGCAAAAGGCAAAAUGGUUUGUGUCGAUUUAAGCAAGAGGGUAAUAGGAGGAGUGGGAAAAAAAUCAAUAACAACAUAAAAUUGAUUUAGUGCGUGUCAUAAAACAUAAGUAAGUGCUCUGAGAUGGAGAAAACUGGAGUCUCAAUUUAAUCUGCGCAAAAGCUGCACUGUACAGAUGAAGUGAUGUCAAGAGGGAGAAAGAUAGGAAGAGGCUAAAGGAGAGUGGGUGGGAAGAAAGAAGAAAAGCAGGAGGGAGGACAGAGUAGCUCACAAGAUAGAGGGAGGAAGAUACAAUAAAAUCUAAAAGACAGACACUUAAUUGUCAUAUUAAAGACUCUUUCCAGUGCUCGGCAGAGUGGAAGGUUAGCUCCCAUUCAUCAUCUCGCUAACAGCCGCCUGAAUGAAAUCACAAUUAAAAUCUGCUCAGUAUUGUCCCUGGGACGUUUCGCGAGCAUUAAUUUUUUCCCAUUGAUUCUCUACCCCCCAUAAAUCAGAAAUGUUGCAGCGCAUGUAAUGGUUUAUGGAGAAGGGAUUAUGGUGUUAUGAAGCUAAUGUAGCAGAACCGUCUCAUUUACACACAGCCUCCCUGGCCAGCUUACAGGGGAUGGAGUUAUUACACUAUUACACAGCCUAUCACAAACACAACACACUGACGCUGUUUAAACGAUACGUUUAAUUGGACAGUACUGUAGAUUUACAGCUUUUAUGAUCAUAACAGCAUUGUGUUUUGAGGAUUCUGUUCAUUUGCAGCACAAAAGUGCAGUAGGAGAAGAUUACAGCAUUUGUCGCAGAAACCAGUGAUUCUCUAAACAUCUCAAAGCCCUGAUCAGUUCCUAUAUAUAAUUUUCCAGUAUAUGGUUCUAUGGUGUAGACUUUUACAUCCUUAAAAGACAAAUCCAAGCAUUGAAGUUUAGUUUAGUCUGAAAAAGUUUUGCUCUGCCAUUCCUAAGUUGACUUGAGGCUAUUAAAAAAAUAAUAAAGUAAAGGAGAAUAUUAAAUGCCGUAAUAUAAAAUAAAAGGUAGAAGAAGACACAAUAAAAUAAACAGAUAGUUUUAAAGUAAGUAAAUAAUAAUAAUUAAAUAUAAUUCUCAACAGAUAUCUCCCUCACAAAUAAGAGCCAGUGAGGCUGCUAGCUAGCUAGCUAGCUGCCCGCUAGGCGUUAUCUCAGCUUCUUUUAAACAUUCAGCAGGACCUCGUCACUGUGUUUGCAGUGGGUUUUUGUUUUACACUUCAAUUAUGUGAUUUGUAAUUAAUCUGUCUCCAUUCUUGGUUAGUGGUACUCUGGUAUUUUUUUUAUGAACAUGUUAGACAGUGCUUUUGCGCUCCCUGCUAACCAUGCUUGCUGAUUAGCUAAUAACAUAGCACACCCCCGCCUUCUGUGUAAAUGUAAUCAAUUCAGUCUAAAUGCUAAAAUAAAGGCUUCAAUACAAGGUGACAAGAUGACUGGUGAAAGCACAGUGGCUACAUCCAUCUUUUAGAUAUAGUUUAAGACAGAGCGCAGUCGUUAGUGGGAAUAAUGCACAGCAUUAUUAUUAUUUGCAAGCAUCUGGUCUUUGUCUGAAAUCAUUUUCUUGUCCAGUCAUUUGCUGCCUUACCUAUUUUGCAUAAUAAUUUAAUCUGCUGUGAGCAGCAAACUGUCAUUAUGAAGGUGCAUGUGAUUUUUUUUGUCAUUACUGACAGGUGUCAUGUCAUGCAAAGCUAAUUUGGUUCUACAAAUUACACUGCAUUGUAUCGUAGAACUUUUAGUUUGUGUUAAUUGCAUGCAUAAAUUUCCCACUCAUU